CCAACCAGCCGCUGCUGCUCGUCGGUGGACUGCGUCGUCGACGUGGUGAUCUCCGACGUGGACGGGAAGCCGGUGACGAACUCGUCGAAUGACUCGUCGUCCUCCGGCAACGUCUCCGGCGCCGACGCGGCGCCUUCCAAGAUCUGCACCACCUGCCUCAUGCUCGGCCGGCGGCGCGGGUCAGGGUGCGAGCAGAGAAGCCCGAGCUUGAGGACGACCUCGAGAUCGUCCUCGUCACAGUCGCCGAUCCUGGGGUCCCUCGCCGCCGUGAUCUCGCCGGCCUUCCAGUGCUCGAGGACGAGCUCGACGAGCCCCGGCGAGUCGUCGUCGACGGUGAACUCCAUGGGCCUCCGGCCGCACGCCACCUCGAGCAAGAAGGCGCCGAAGGCGAAGACGUCGGUGCUCGUGCUCGCCGCGGCGCCGGCAGUAGCCGAGCAGCUGCACCAGGUUGCGGUGGCGCAGCCGGCUCAUGCUGGCGAUCUCCGACACGAACUCCCGCAGCCCCUGCCGCGAGUCGUGCGACACCUUCUUCACGGCGACCUCCACGCCGGACCUCGGCAGCACGCCGUGGUACACGCUGCCGAAGCCGCCGGCGCCGAUGACGUCGCGGAACCCCUUGGUCGCGCCGUGGAGGUCCUUGUAGCUGAUCCUGUGUGGCCCGUACUCGAUCUCCCAUUCCUCCUCUUCCUCGGCGUACCGCCGGCUUCGCACCACGAGCGCCGCCACGGCCGCCGCCGCCAGGAGCAGGAUCACGACGGAGAGGAGGAGAAUUGUCAAGAUGAUCAGCGGCGGCAACGUCUUCUUGGGUUUGCUCGGCGACGGGAGCCGCGGGAGCUUGGCGAGGUCGAGGUCCUGCGCGCGGCCGCCGCCGCCGAGGCGGAAGCUCCAGCCGAGGACUGCGAGCUCGCGGCGGCGCCGUUCGCCGCCGAGAACCCGACGUACGUGUCGCCGGCCACGGCGGACGACAGGUUGACGGUGCAAGACACCAGCGGGGCGGCCGGCCUGAGCAUGCCGGCCGGCGACACCGUCACCUCGAGCCACGCGCUGUCGCCGUCGUACUCGAUCCACACCUGCAGGGGCUCGCCGCCGAUCAGGUUGACGCUGGCGAGCUUGCCGCCGGUGGCGGCGUCGUGGUACCCCGCCGGGCUGGAGUUCACGGAUUUCAGGCUGUUGUCGUCGAUGCCGACGUGGUUGUCGUCGAUGUCGGCGAACUCGUCGUCCCGCGCCGUGUCGAGCUCGACGGCGACGAUCUUGUUCUUGAUCUGGCCCGUGCUGUCGGACGUGUUGAAGAGCCCCAGGUACUUGCCGGCGACGGCGCCGGGGACGGCCACCGACGGCGCCAGCGCGAAGGCGAGGCCGUGGCCAUGCGCGUCGGGAUACUUGGGCACGAUGGCGAACACGAAGGUGGUGGAGAAGGAGGCCGCCGCGCCGGUGGAGGCGUUUCUCAAGCUGACCGGCUUGGGGUAG
rnacentral:lncRNA from 1 species